rnacentral:rRNA from 1 species
GAUGAACGCUGGCGGCGUGCCUAAUACAUGCAAGUCGAGCGAACGGACGAGAAGCUUGCUUCUCUGAUGUUAGCGGCGGACGGGUGAGUAACACGUGGAUAACCUACCUAUAAGACUGGGAUAACUUCGGGAAACCGGAGCUAAUACCGGAUGAUAUUUUGAACCGCAUGGUUCAAAAGUGAAAGACGGUCUUGCUGUCACUUAUAGAUGGAUCCGCGCUGCAUUAGCUAGUUGGUAAGGUAACGGCUUACCAAGGCAACGAUGCAUAGCCGACCUGAGAGGGUGAUCGGCCACACUGGAACGGAGACACGGUCCAGACUCCUACGGGAGGCAGCAGUAGGGAAUCGGCCGCAAUGGGCGAGAGCCUGACGGAGCAACGCCGCGUGAGUGAUGAAGGUCUUCGGAUCGUAAAACUCUGUUAUGAGGGAAGAACAUAUGUGUAGGUAACUGUGCACAUCUUGACGGUACCUAAUCAGAAAGCCACGGCUAACUACGUG